UGCCAGCAGCCGCGGUAAUACGUAGGGUGCGAGCGUUAAUCGGAAUUACUGGGCGUAAAGCGCAUGCAGGCGGUUGAUUAAGCGAGAUGUGAAAGCCCCGGGCUUAACCUGGGAACUGCAUUUCGAACUGGUCAACUAGAGUCUUGUAGAGGGGGGUAGAAUUUCAGGUGUAGCGGUGAAAUGCGUAGAGAUCUGAAGGAAUACCAGUGGCGAAGGCGGCCCACUGGACAAAGACUGGCGCUCAGAUCCGAAGGCUUGGGAAGCAAACAGGAUUAGAAA
rnacentral:rRNA from 1 species